rnacentral:rRNA from 1 species
UACGAAGGGGACUAGCGUUGUUCGGAAUUACUGGGCGUAAAGCGCACGUAGGCGGAUUUGUUAGUCAGGGGUGAAAUCCCGGGGCUCAACCUCGGAACUGCCUUUGAUACUGCAAAUCUCGAGUCCGAUAGAGGUGGGUGGAAUUCCUAGUGUAGAGGUGAAAUUCGUAGAUAUUAGGAAGAACACCGGUGGCGAAGGCGGCCCACUGGAUCGGUACUGACGCUGAGGUGCGAAAGCGUGGGGAGCAAGCAGG